GACCUCUUCCAGCCCCACACGACAGCUUGGUCCUCCGUGAAACGAAACUGGUUCAAACAUGGCCAAUAUGCCCAGCAGCCCGAUACAGAUGAACAGGCAGUCGAAGAGGUACACAGGGCAACGUCCAGAAGGGUCCCAGUGACAGAAAACAGAUCAAUGUCACCGGCCGCUGGAACUCCUAGGGAGUACUGACUGCAAAGGAGCCCUUCUGGAGUGAUGAAGAUGUUCUCUCUCGAUUGUGGUGGUUGUGGCAUGGGUACAGAACACUUGUCAAAAGGCAUGGAAUUACUCAAGAUGGAAGCAUUUUUACUGUAUGUUAAUUAUAACUCAAUAAAAUUGAUUUUUUAAAA